AACGAACGCUGGCGGCAGGCUUAACACAUGCAAGUCGAACGCCCCGCAAGGGGAGUGGCAGACGGGUGAGUAACGCGUGGGAAUCUACCCAUCCCUACGGAACAACUCCGGGAAACUGGAGCUAAUACCGGAUGGUUCCUGCGGGAUAAAGAUUUAUCGCCAAAAGAUGAGUCCGCGUACGAUUAGCUAGUUGGUGGGGUAAUGGCCCACCAAGGCGACGAUCGUUAGCUGGUCUGAGAGGACGAUCAGCCACACUGGGACUGAGACACGGCCCAGACUCCUACGGGAGGCAGCAGUGGGGAAUAUUGGACAAUGGGGGCAACCCUGAUCCAGCCAUGCCGCGUGAGUGAUGAAGGCCUUCGGGUUGUAAAGCUCUUUUGGCGGGGACGAUGAUGACGGUACCCGCAGAAUAAGCCCCGGCUAACUUCGUGCCAGCCGCCGCGGUAAGAC
rnacentral:rRNA from 1 species